UAAUUACUCCCUCCGUCCCGAAUUACUUGUCGCAAAAAUGAAUAAAAGUGGAUGUAUCUAGAACUAAAAUGCGUCUAGAUACAUCCAUUUCUAUGACAAGUAUUUCCGGACGGAGGGAGUAGAUU
rnacentral:pre_miRNA from 1 species